GUAAUAGUUAGGUUCUUGAAACCCAAAGAAUUUGGCGGUAUUUUAUUCUUUUUAGAGGAACCUGUCCUGUAAUUGACAAUACACGAUUAAGAAUUACUUGGUUUUUGUUUUCAGUUUGUAUACCUCCGUCAUCAGAAUAUCUUUUUAGAGUUAAAUAUUCUUUUUAUAUAAAUUAUAAAAUGUCAGGUCAAGGUGCAAUUUAUGAGCAAGUAGAGAUGGGUUACAAUAAAGUUAUUUAUAUGGAUUGGGAGUUUUAUUAAACUUUCAUGAAGGUGGAUUUAAUAGUAAGAUUGUAUUCUUUGCAAUUUGAUUUUGGCACUAAAAUAUGCACACAUCGCCCG
rnacentral:rRNA from 1 species